GGAAGUAAAAGUUGUAACAAGGUUUCCGUAGGUGAACCUGCGGAAGGAUCAUUAUCGUACAAAAUGUGAGGGGCAUGCGAGGGCUGUCGCUGACCCAAAAGUCGUGCACGCCCGAGUGUGUCCUCUUGCAUAAUAAUCCAUCUCACCCUUUGUGCAUCACCGCGUGGGCACCCUUCGGGAUCAUCCCGGAGGGGGGCUCGCGUUUUCACACAAACCCCCCUUUUAAAAGUGUAGAAUGACCACAUUUAUGCAAUCAAUACAACUUUCAACAGCGGAUCUCUUGGCUCUC
rnacentral:misc_RNA from 1 species